CCCUUAGACGUUCUGGGCCGCACGCGCGCUACACUGACACAGGCAACGAGCUUUCCUUUACCGAAAGGUAUGGGUAAUCUUUUGAAACUGUGUCGUGCUGGGGAUAGAUCCUUGCAAUUUUUGAUCUUAAACGAGGAAUUCCUAGUAAGCGCGAGUCAUCAACUCGCGUUGAUUACGUCCCUGCCCUUUGUACACACCGCCCGUCGCUACUACCGAUUGAAUGGCUUAGUGAGGCCUCAGGAUCCGCGCUUAAUGUGUGGAGAAUUUGGACAAACUAAGUCAUUUAGAGGAAGUAAAAGUCGUAACA
rnacentral:rRNA from 1 species